rnacentral:misc_RNA from 1 species
GAACUGCGAUAAGUAAUGUGAAUUGCAGAAUUCAGUGAAUCAUCGAGUCUUUGAACGCACAUUGCGCCCCCUGGCAUUCCGGGGGGCAUGCCUGUCCGAGCGUCAUUGCUGCCCUUCAAGCCCGGCUUGUGUGUUGGGUCGUCGUCCCCUCCGGGGGACGGGCCCGAAAGGCAGCGGCGGCACCGCGUCCGGUCCUCGAGCGUAUGGGGCUUUGUCACCCGCUCGAUAAGGACCGGCCGGGCGCCAGCCGGCGUCUCCAACCUUUUUUUCUCAGGUUGACCUCGGAUCAGGUAGGGAUACCCACUGAACUUAAGC